AAGUCGUAACAAGGUUUCCGUAGGUGAACCUGCGGAAGGAUCAUUAAAACGUAUCCAACGUUAACCAAUCGGUAAUCCUCCCUUGUAAAUGGAGAAAUUGGAGCUGCGAUCGAAAUUGAUGGGGUCUUUAACAGGAUCGGUCUUUCGCAGUCACUGACACUUUCGGGUGUCGACAAUAGUAUCUGUUUCAAGGCUAACUUCCUGUUUCGCGCCCUCCAUUCAAAGGUGCGAGCAGGCGGACCCUAUUAACUAAUUUCACCCCUUUUUUGCUAGUUGACUUUUUUAAUGUUAGUUUUUACGAAAGUAGAGAUUACACGUUUCAUUAUUUGAACGUAAAAUACAACUCUUAGCAAUGGAUAUCUUGGUUCUC
rnacentral:misc_RNA from 1 species